rnacentral:rRNA from 1 species
UAGUGGCGAACGGGUGAGUAACACGUGGGCAAUCUGCCCUGCACUCUGGGACAAGCCCUGGAAACGGGGUCUAAUACCGGAUAACACUGUCCCCCUCCUGGGGGACGGUUGAAAGCUCCGGCGGUGCAGGAUGAGCCCGCGGCCUAUCAGCUUGUUGGUGGGGUAAUGGCCUACCAAGGCGACGACGGGUAGCCGGCCUGAGAGGGCGACCGGCCACACUGGGACUGAGACACGGCCCAGACUCCUACGGGAGGCAGCAGUGGGGAAUAUUGCACAAUGGGCGAAAGCCUGAUGCAGCGACGCCGCGUGAGGGAUGACGGCCUUCGGGUUGUAAACCUCUUUCAGCAGGGAAGAAGCGAAAGUGACGGUACCUGCAGAAGAAGCGCCGGCUAACUACGUGCCAGCAGCCGCGGUAAUACGUAGGGCGCAAGCGUUGUCCGGAAUUAUUGGGCGUAAAGAGCUCGUAGGCGGUCUGUCACGUCGG